rnacentral:rRNA from 1 species
AGGCUUCAGUUCGGCUGGAUCAGAGACAGGUGCUGCAUGGCUGUCGUCAGCUCGUGUCGUGAGAUGUUCGGUUAAGUCCGCUAACGAGCGCAACCCUCGUCGUAUGUUAUAUGUGUACAUACGAGACUGCCGGUAAAAGCCGGAGGAAGGUGAGGAUGAUGUCAAGUCAGCAUGACCUUUAUAUCCAGGGCUACACACACGCUACAAUGGUCUGUACAAUGGGUAGCCAAACCGCAGGCGGAGCCAAUCCUGAAAGCAGGCCUCAGUUCAGAUUGCAGUCUGCAACUCGACUGCAUGAAGCCGGAGUUGCUAGUAACCGCAGGUCAGCAAUACUGCGGUGAAUACGUUCCCGGGUCUU